GCCAGCGUAGCUCAACCGGUAGAGCAACUCAUUCGUAAUGAGUAGGUUUAGGGUUCGAGUCCCUACGCUGGCU
rnacentral:tRNA from 2 species